GUGAGGAAUAUUGGGCAAUGCCCGAAAGGGUGACCCAGCAACGCCGCGUGGAGGAUGAAUGCCGUAAGGUUGUAAACUCCUGUUAGAGGGGAAGAAAAAUCUCGAUCAAAUCGAGAACUGACUGUACCCUCAGAGAAAGCCCCGGCUAACUACGUGCCAGCAGCCGCGGUAAUACGUAGGGGGCAAGCGUUGUCCGGAUUUACUGGGUGUAAAGGGCGCGCAGGCGGGUUAGCAAGUCAGAGGUGAAAUCCUACAGCUUAACUGUAGAACUGCCUUUGAGACUGCUAAUCUUGAGUACGGAAGAGAGAGAUGGAAUUCCAGGUGUAGUGGUGAAAUACGUAGAUAUCUGGAAGAACACCAGUGGCGAAGGCGGUCUCUUGGUCCAUUACUGACGCUAAGGCGCGAAAGCGUGGGGAGCAAACAGGAUUAGAAACCCCAGUAGUCC
rnacentral:rRNA from 1 species